rnacentral:lncRNA from 1 species
GUGAGAGAGAAAACUUGAACUAUUCAUUUUGAAAUGGAUCUGGAGACUCACCAACUCACUGUCCCUUGCCUGUCUUCUACUCUCCACUCCAAAACAGGUGGCCCAAGAAGCACCUCUUUGUAUGUCCUAGCAUUUUAAAGUACCUAAGACAGUAUUUUCAUCUUAAAGUCUUUACACAGGAUUUUAUUUCCAAUACCUCUUUUAUACAUUGCCAAUAUCCGGUAACUCAAAGCAACACCGUUGUAGCCUACAUGAAAGCAAAGUUUUGAAGAAAUAAAGCUAACCCCCUUGGAAAAUUGCCGCCA